GACGAACGCUGGCGGCGUGCCUAAUACAUGCAAGUCGAACGCAUUUUCUUUCACCGUAGCUUGCUACACCGAAAGAAAAUGAGUGGCGAACGGGUGAGUAACACGUGGGUAACCUGCCCAUCAGCGGGGGAUAACACUUGGAAACAGGUGCUAAUACCGCAUAAUUCCAUUUACCGCAUGGUAAGUGAAUGAAAGGAGUUUUUGCGUCACUGAUGGAUGGACCCGCGGUGCAUUAGCUAGUUGGUGGGGUAACGGCCUACCAAGGCUGCGAUGCAUAGCCGACCUGAGAGGGUGAUCGGCCACACUGGGACUGAGACACGGCCCAGACUCCUACGGGAGGCAGCAGUAGGGAAUCUUCGGCAAUGGACGCAAGUCUGACCGAGCAACGCCGCGUGAGUGAAGAAGGUUUUCGGAUCGUAAAACUCUGUUGUUAGAGAAGAACAAGGAUGAGAGUGGAAAGUUCAUCCCUUGACGGUAUCUAACCAGAAAGCCACGACUAACUACGUG
rnacentral:rRNA from 1 species